UACGGAGGGUGCAAGCGUUAUCCGGAUUCACUGGGUUUAAAGGGUGCGUAGGUGGGCAGGUAAGUCAGUGGUGAAAUCUCUGGGCUUAACCCGGAAACUGCCGUUGAUACUAUCUGUCUUGAAUAUAGUGGAGGUGAGCGGAAUAUGUCAUGUAGCGGUGAAAUGCUUAGAUAUGACAUAGAACAUCGAUUGCGAAGGCAGCUCGCUACACUAUGAUUGACACUGAGGCACGAAAGCGUGAGGAUCAAACAGG
rnacentral:rRNA from 1 species